GAUGAAGAACGCAGCGAAAUGCGAUACGUAAUGUGAAUUGCAGAAUUCAGUGAAUCAUCGAAUCUUUGAACGCACAUUGCACUCUCUGGUAUUCCGGAGAGUAUGCUUGUUUGAGUAUCAGUAAACACCUCAAAUCUCUUGUUUCUUGUGAAUAAGAGAAUUGGACUUGAGCAAUCCCAACUCUUGCAAAAGAGGCGGGUUGCUUGAAAUGCAGGUGCAGCUGGACAUUCUUCUGAGCUAAAAGCAUAUUUAUUAGUCCCGUAAAACGGAUUAUUACUUUUGCUGCAGCUAACAUAAAGGUUGAAUGGCCAAUAUGGCUGACUGAUGCAGGAUUAACAGAGAAUUUAUUCUUUGUAAACUCGAUCUCAAAUCAAGUAAGACUACCCGCUGAACUUAAGCAUAUCAAUAAGCGGAGGA
rnacentral:misc_RNA from 1 species